UCAGGCCUGCACUCUCAUGAUUUGGAGAUAGCCUCGUAGAAAUGACAACCACAAUGUUAAUACUAACAUAUGUAUUACAUGGUUUGUUUGUUCUUUCGCUUAAUAUUUUCAGAGCACCUACCUAUUAUAGGCACUGUGCACUUCUCACAAAACUGGGACAACUAACUGUUUAUCCAACAUCUGCUGGCUAAAUAAAGACAUGAUCUUCACCUUUUGGGAUUGUUAAUUUAAAAUGGUUCCAUAAGAGCAAUGCAAAGACAGAGAUAUUUGGCAGCACUGCAGCUGGUGAUUUAUAUGGCUCUUCACAAGGUGUUAUUUUGGGGGUAUCAAGGUAUGGAUGCUUAAAUCAGCUGCAGGAAGUAAGAAAGAAGAAAAAAGGAGUGAUAAAGAUAAAAAAAAAUCAACCUUGGUCCUUCCACCAAGACCCAUUAAUUUCCAUAUCAUCAUCUGCAUAAGAGGGAAGAUUCCUACAUGACCAGGUUACUGCAAGGAUGUGAAUUUUGAAUAUUAAAAUAUUAUACACAAUUGGAAAGAUUAUAACGAAAGACAAAAUAUAUGCUGCAGUUGGGGUGGAGAAAUUGAAGGAGAGAAACACAGGUGAAUCUAGAAAUUUGAGAAAAUGUC
rnacentral:lncRNA from 1 species